rnacentral:rRNA from 1 species
UGAUCUGACGUGCUUGCGCUGAAGUGACGAUGGAUUACCAGUGAGCGGCGGACGGGUGAGUAACACGUGGGCAACCUGCCCUGAAGCGGGGGAUAACAUUUGGAAACAGGUGCUAAUACCGCAUAACAACGAAAACCACAUGGUUUUCGUUUCAAAGAUGGUUUCGGCUAUCACUUCAGGAUGGGCCCGCGGUGCAUUAGCUUGUUGGUAGGGUAACGGCCUACCAAGGCAAUGAUGCAUAGCCGAGUUGAGAGACUGAUCGGCCACAAUGGAACUGAGACACGGUCCAUACUCCUACGGGAGGCAGCAGUAGGGAAUCUUCCACAAUGGGCGCAAGCCUGAUGGAGCGACACCGCGUGAGUGAAGAAGGGUUUCGGCUCGUAAAGCUCUGUUGUUGAAGAAGAACGUGCGUGAGAGCAACUGUUCACGCAGUGACGGUAUUCAACCAGAAAGUCACGGCUAACUACGUGCCAGCAGCCGCGGUAAUACGUAGGUGGCAAGCGUUAUCCGGAUUUAUUGGGCGUAAAGCGAGCGCAGGCGGUUGCUUAAGUCUGAUGUGAAAGCCUUCGGCUUAACCGAAGAAGUGCAUCGGAAACUGAGCGACUUGAGUGCAGAAGAGGACAGUGGAACUCCAUGUGUAGCGGUGGAAUGCGUAGAUAUAUGGAAGAACACCAGUGGCGAAGGCGGCUGUCUGGUCUGCAACUGACGCUGAGGCUCGAAAGCAUGGGUAGCGAACAGGAUUAGAUACCCUGGUAGUCCAUGCCGUAAACAAUGAGUGCUAGGUGUUGGAGGG